AUGUAUUUCUUCCCUUUCCCUUGGGUGAGUGUCAUAGCCUUGAUGAACUCAAUUUCCCUCAACUCAAAAUGGAAUUUGUUGGACAUUUGUUUAUUUUGAUUACUCAAAUUAUGGGUCAAGAGGAAAUAAUGGAGGAGGUAUAUGUAUGAUGUGGGGGUAGGACCUUGCUAAUUUUUUCUUACUCAUUCAUGUAUGCCGCUGUUUUCACAUAAUGUUGGUUAUCUUUGUUUCCUGUUCCCUUUGCAUUUCCUUAAUUUUUUUUCCCUUUCAUUCACUCUUCUCUGCUUUUAUAUGCCCUAACUACGAUUCUUACUGGGUUAUAAUUAUUAUUAUUUUUGAUUCAGGUUCAACUAUAAGGCUAUUGUUGCAAAGGCGGAUACAAACUUCCUCAUAAUAGUACAUACGUACGCUUUGCUCAAAUGCAACUGGUGAGUGACAAUUAGUCUUCAGUUUAUCUUUUUUAAGCUUAUUUCUUGCUGUGUUUUCAUUGGUUGCCUAAAAACACCAUUUGCAUGUGGAGGUGAUCAAGGUGCAAAGGUAUAAUUUUCUAUUUCGGACCUGUUACGUGAUUAGGAGAGAUUGAAAUUAAUUAGAGAAGGAACUCAAUUUCUGGCAACACAUAUUUGGUUGAUUAGUUUUCUUAAAAUUUCAAUUGUAUUGGUGGCAAAUAUACAUUACUCUGACAUGCAUGUUUAUUUUUUUCCGCUAUAGGAUGAUGAAGGAGGAUAGGCUGUGGAGCGUCUAUUUGAGUGCUUGGAAGCCAUGCAUGACAUCUCAUUAUUGGUGUUGAGUUUCCUGACUGAUACUUUUGUAUCUUUUAGACAGCUUCUCACAUUGCAUUGUUCUUCAGGUGGGGUCUUAUUACACUUAAAGCUCUUGAUCCUAACUAUGGAACACAACAAUCCUAAAGCUUAGGCUACUUUGAAACUAAAGAACUUGCAAAAAAAUACAGCUCUCUUGGCCAUCUGAUAAUCACCGCUAAACUUUUGAUCAAGAUUAACUAUUCCACUGGCCGAACUUUUGACAUCAUUGAUACACAAAACCUUAUAUUUUGGAAGACAUUCAAGCAUUCGUGAGCUUUCUUUGAUGGUAUUAAUGGCCUAUCUAUCUUACAUGUUGGCUGAGGUGAGAUUUCUAAUUGAAGCAGUGUUUAUGGGGUUUCUCGAUUUGGUUAUUAGUUGUUGUUGGGCUCAACAUUUGAAGUUUUGGAGAUGUAGAGCUUAGAGGAAAAGGUCGUUGGGCUCAAGGAAGCUGCAAGAAUACAAGACUCACUCAUGUAGUUUCAGGAAGAAGAGCUGGUUAUGCAUGACAGAGGAAUUGAUGUUAAAAGGUUUUAGCUAAUUGAUUCAAAUUUCGCAACAUAGUUAUUCAUCAUUAACAUUAUUGUUGUUCAUGAUUAUGAUGGUCUGCUUCAUAUUUUGAAAACUGUUAGUAUUAGAGACAAUUGAAUUAAAUAUCUUUUUGGCA